AUGGAAGGAGACAUGCUAGCGAUCGGCAUAGAUCUCGGCACAACCUACUCCUGUGUCGGAGUAUGGCGGAACGGUCGUGUGGAGAUCGUCGCCAAUGACCUGGGAGACCGCACCACGCCAUCCUGUGUCGCCUUCACCAAGAACGACAAGCUCGUCGGCGAGGGGGCUAAUAUUCAGGCCGCGCGUAAUGCAUCCAACACUGUCUUCGAUGUCAAGCGGCUCAUCGGCCGGAGUUUCUCUGAUGCGUCGGUGAAGACGGAUGCCAAGUAUUGGUCAUUUCAGGUGACGGAGGGCAGCAACGACAAUCCCAGGAUCAAGGUGAGUUACCUUGGGAAGGAGAAGGAGUUCUCGCCGGAGGAGAUCUCCGCCAUGGUGCUCGAGAAGAUGAAGGCGACAGCUGAGGUCUUCCUUGGAACGACCAUCCAGGAUGCAGUGGUCACUGUGCCAGCUUACUUCAACAACUCCCAGCGCAAGGCGACCAAGGAUGCUGCCACCAUUGCCGGCCUUAAUGUCUUGCGCGUUAUCAACGAACCUACAGCGGCUGCCAUCGCCUACAGCCUUGAGAGGAAGUGGGGAAACGCCAAACAGAGCAUUGUGCUAGUGUAUGACUUGGGCGGUGGGACGCUGGAUGUAUCCCUCGUCGUUGUCAAGAAAGAUGUCUUGCAGGUCAUGGCUACCUCCGGGGACAGCCACCUAGGAGGCGAGGAUUUCACCAACAAUAUGGUUGAUCAUUUCGUCAACGAAUUUAAGAGGAAGAACCACAAAGAUAUCAGGGGCAACAAGAAGGCGGUCCGGAAUCUGAGGAACUCGUGCGAGAAGGCCAAGAGGAUGCUCUCCUCCCAGGCCCAGACCGUUGUGGAUAUUGAAGCUCUUUUUGAGGGCAUCGACUUCCACGCACCCAUCAAUUGCGCCCUGUUCGAGCAUCUCAACGAGGACCUCUUGCGCAGAUGCAUGAAGCCCGUUGAGACGUGCUUGGAGGACGCCAAGGUGAACAAGGUAAAAGUGGACGAUGUUGUGCUCGUGGGGGGUUCCACACGUAUCCCCCGCGUGCACAAGCUCGUCAAGGACUUCUUCAAUGGGAAGGAGCCCUGCCAGAGCAUCAACGCCGACGAGGCCGUCGCAUACGGAGCCACCGUCCUGGCCGCCAUGCUCACUGACCACAAGAAGCAUGACAUCCACCUGCAUCUCAUCGACGUCACGCCCCUCUCACAGGGCAUAAGGGUCAAGGGAGAUCUCAUGACCGUGAUGAUCCCGAGGAAUACCACCAUCCCCGCAACGAUGGAGUACACCUUCGAUACAAGUGUGGACAACCAGUCCGGCAUGUCUUUGGACGUGUACGAGGGUGAGCGGGCCAUGACAGCCGACAACAGCAUGCGUGGCAGGCUCACGCUUUCAGGCCUCACGUUGGCUCCUAAGGGGGUCACUAAAGUCAACGUGCGGUUUGACAUUGAUGAAGAAGGGAUCCUCCAUGUCUCGGCAGAAGACAAGAAGUCCGCUCAGAAGGAGAAGAUAACCAUCAUGCAUGACGUGGGGCGUUUUAGCAUGGAGGAGAUUCAGAGAAUGGUGAAGGAGGCCCAGGAGUACAAGGCCGUGGAUGAGGAGCACAAGAACAAGGUACAAGCACGGAACGACAUUGAGGGUUUGCUAUACAAGAUGUGCAACACUCUCAAGCUCCAGGACGCAGUUGAUGAGGCUACAAGCUGGCUCCAAGACAACGAGCUCACCACCAGCCAGAUUAAUGACAAGAAGAAGGAGCUCGAACGCAUCCACGAUAGCACUGUCACCGGUCAGACUAGUACACCAUGA
rnacentral:rRNA from 1 species